rnacentral:rRNA from 1 species
AGUAACGCGUGAGUAACCUGCCUUACACAAGGGGAUAGCCUUUGGAAACGAAGAAUAAUACCCUAUAAAACUAUAAAAGCACAUGCUAGAAUGGUCAAAGUGAUAGCGGUGUAAGAUGGACUUGCGUCUGAUUAGCUAGUUGGUGAGAUAAAAGCUCACCAAGGCAACGAUCAGUAGCCGGCUUGAGAGAGUGUACGGCCACAUUGGGACUGAGACACGGCCCAG